UGUCUCAGUUGGUUAGAGCAUGGUGUUUGCAACGCCAGCGUUGUGGGUUCGAUUCCCAC
rnacentral:tRNA from 1 species